GAUGAACGCUGGCGGCGUGCCUAAUACAUGCAAGUCGAGCGAACGGACGAGAAGCUUGCUUUUCUGAUGUUAGCGGCGGACGGGUGAGUAACACGUGGAUAACCUACCUAUAAGACUGGGAUAACUUCGGGAAACCGGAGCUAAUACCGGAUAAUAUUUUGAACCGCAUGGUUCAAAAGUGAAAGACGGUCUUGCUGUCACUUAUAGAUAGAUCCGCGCUGCAUUAGCUAGUUGGUAAGGUAACGGCUUACCAAGGCAACGAUGCAUAGCCGACCUGAGAGGGUGAUCGGCCACACUGGAACUGAGACACGGUCCAGACUCCUACGGGAGGCAGCAGUAGGGAAUCUUCCGCAAUGGGCGAAAGCCUGACGGAGCAACGCCGCGUGAGUGAUGAAGGUCUUCGGAUCGUAAAACUCUGUUAUUAGGGAAGAACAUAUGUGUAAGUAACUGUGCACAUCUUGACGGUACCUAAUCAGAAAGCCACGGCUAACUACGUG
rnacentral:rRNA from 1 species